rnacentral:rRNA from 1 species
UACGUAGGGUGCAAACGUUGUUCGGAAUCACUGGGCAUAAAGCGUAUGUAGGCGGCUCCGUAAGUGUCGGGUGAAAUCCCACGGCCUACCCGUGGAACUGUUCGGCAUACUGCGGAGCUAGAGGAUGGUAGAGGAGAGCGGAACUCCUGGUGUAGCGGUGGAAUGCGCAGAUAUCAGGAAGAGCACCGGUGGCGAAGGCGGCUCUCUGGGCCUUACCUGACGCUGAGGAGCGAAAGCGUGGGUAGCGAACAGG